GGAGGGGUAGCCAAAUGGUAAAGGCACCAGAUUAAAAACCUGGCAGUCGACCCUCAUGGCUUCCUCACU
rnacentral:tRNA from 1 species